rnacentral:SRP_RNA from 1 species
AGAGGUUCCCGAUACGAGCCCGGUGAGAAGAUGCAUGUGUUCCAGCCGAAGGCGCGAACACGAGCGUCGACCCUUCAGGAGAACAUGAGGCUGGCUGUUCAGAGCAACGACCUG